rnacentral:rRNA from 1 species
CACGUAGGGGGCAAGCGUUGUCCGGAAUUAUUGGGCGUAAAGAGCUCGUAGGCGGCUCGGUAAGUCAGGUGUCAAAUCCUCAGGCUCAACCUGGGGCUCCACCUGAUACUGCUGUGGCUAGAGUCCGGUAGGGGAGCGUGGAAUUCCUGGUGUAGCGGUGAAAUGCGCAGAUAUCAGGAGGAACACCUGUGGCGAAAGCGGCUCACUGGACCACAACUGACGCUGAGGCGCGAAAGCGUGGGGAGCGAACAGG